rnacentral:lncRNA from 1 species
AUGUUCUUCGUUUUGGAGGUGUGCUUUACAUAUAAAUUAAAUGAUAGCUAUACUAGAGUUUUGUUUUUGAUAUUUUCUGAUAUUUGCAUUGAUUUUUUAUUUAGGGCUCAACUGGUUUCCCAGGAUUUCCGGGUGCCAAUGGAGAGAAAGGUGCAAGGGGAUUACACGGCAAACCAGGCCCAAGAGGACAAAGAGGACCAACGGGUCCAAGAGGCUCAAGAGGUCCAAGAGGUCCAACUGGCAAACCAGGUCCAAAGGUAA